rnacentral:rRNA from 1 species
UACAGAGGUCCCAAGCGUUGUUCGGAAUCAUUGGGCGUAAAGGGUGCGUAGGUGGCGUCGUAAGUCGGGUGUGAAAUCUCGGGGCUUAACUCCGAAACUGCAUUCGAUACUGCGGUGCUUGAGGACUGGAGAGGAGACUGGAAUUUACGGUGUAGCAGUGAAAUGCGUAGAGAUCGUAAGGAAGACCAGUGGCGAAGGCGGGUCUCUGGACAGUUCCUGACGCUGAGGCACGAAGGCCAGGGGAGCAAACGGG